rnacentral:rRNA from 1 species
UACAGAGGGUGCAAGCGUUAAUCGGAAUUACUGGGCGUAAAGCGUGCGUAGUCGGCUAUUUAAGUCGGGCGUGAAAGCCCCGGGCUCAACCUGGGAAUUGCGUUCGAUACUGGAUAGCUAGAGUUCGGCAGAGGGAAGCGGAAUUUCGGGUGUAGCGGUGAAAUGCGUAGAUAUCCGAAGGAACAUCAGUGGCGAAAGCGGCUUCCUGGACCAGAACUGACGAUCAGGCACGAAAGCGUGGGGAGCAAACGGG